GCAAGCAUGAUGAAAUGGUAGCCAUGCCUCCCUUAAGAGGAGGAGUCUUAAAUGACGUGAGAGUUCAAGUCUCUCUGCUUGUA